AUGAACGCUGGCGGCGUGCUUAACACAUGCCAGUCGAACGGAAAGGCUCCUGCUUGCAGGGGUACUCGAGUGGCGAACGGGUGAGUAACACGUGGGUGAUCUGCCCUGCACUUCGGGAUAAGCCUGGGAAACUGGGUCUAAUACCGGAUAGGACCACAUUUUGGAUGGUGUGGUGGAAAGUUUUUCGGUGUGGGAUGAGCUCGCGGCCUAUCAGCUUGUUGGUGGGGUAAUGGCCUACCAAGGCGUCGACGGGUAGCCGGCCUGAGAGGGUGUACGGCCACAUUGGGACUGAGAUACGGCCCAGACUCCUACGGGAGGCAGCAGUGGGGAAUAUUGCACAAUGGGCGCAAGCCUGAUGCAGCGACGCCGCGUGGGGGAUGACGGCCUUCGGGUUGUAAACUCCUUUCGCUAGGGACGAAGCGCAAGUGACGGUACCUGGAGAAGAAGCACCGGCUAACUACGUG
rnacentral:rRNA from 1 species